CAUUACUGAAAAAGAUUGCCCGUUGCUUUUUCCCUACUCGAGCGCGUCAUAGAGUAAGGUGCGGUACCUCGAGGCGAUUGGAAUGAGACGUGGAGGUUAGUAGUAACCGAUCCUCUCUAAAAUCGCAUGGAGCGCGAGCACUCGCUGACAUACCCGAGAGCCCGCCAGUUCCCCUCCGUCGUGUGUUUAUAUCUAUUUUGCCCUAUGGCCCGCGGGCUUUGUGCCUUUGCGUAUGGGCGGGCGUUCUCUCUCACUUGAUCAGCACUUGCUGAACGAUUUUCCUCCCCUUGGGAGAAUCGAUCCUAUGCCAACUCCCGGACCCCUUGUUUAUGUGUACCCUUCGUUUCCUCGGCAGGCUUGCCUGCCAAUGGGGACUCCAACAAACUCCUUUUGUAGUGGCAGUGUCUGUAGAAUUAUCAAUCUUAUUAAAACUUUCAACAACGGAUCUCUUGGUUCUGGCAUCGAUGAAGAACGCAGCGAAAUGCGAUAAGUAGUGUGAAUUGCAGAAUUCAGUGAAUCAUCGAAUCUUUGAACGCACAUUGCGCCCUUUGGUAUUCCAUAGGGCAUGCCUGUUCGAGCGUCGUUUCAAACCUUCAAGCCUAGCUUGGUGUUGGGUGUUUGUCCCGCCAUGUGCGCGGACUCGCCUCAAAAUCAUUGGCAGCAGACAUUGUAGCUAAUUGCGCAGCACAUACGCGCCUGAUGCUGGAUGUCGGCUCUCCACGANGCGUAGCCUCUUUUCAGUUNGACNUCGNAUCAGGUAGGNAUACCCGCUGAACUUAAGCAUAUCAAUAAGCGGAGGA
rnacentral:rRNA from 1 species